GGGUAAUUUUCCGCAAUGGGCGAAAGCCUGACGGAGCAAUACCGCGUGAGGGAGGAAGGCUCUUGGGUCGUAAACCUCUUUUCUCAGGGAAGAACACAAUGACGGUACCUGAGGAAUAAGCAUCGGCUAACUCCGUGCCAGCAGCCGCGGUAAUACGGAGGAUGCAAGCGUUAUCCGGAAUGAUUGGGCGUAAAGCGUCCGCAGGUGGCGAUGUAAGUCUGCUGUUAAAGAGUCUAGCUCAACUAGAUAAGAGCAGUGGAAACUACAUAGCUAGAGUACGUUCGGGGCAGAGGGAAUUCCUGGUGUAGCGGUGAAAUGCGUAGAGAUCAGGAAGAACACCAGUGGCGAAGGCGCUCUGCUAGGCCGUAACUGACACUGAGGGACGAAAGCUAGGGGAGCGAAUGGGAUUAGAUACCCCAGUAGUCCUAGCCGUAAACGAUGGAUACUAGGCGUGGCUUGUAUCGACCCGAGCCGUGCCGUAGCUAACGCGUUAAGUAUCC
rnacentral:rRNA from 1 species